UGGGGAAUUUUGGACAAUGGGCGAAAGCCUGAUCCAGCAAUGCCGCGUGUGUGAAGAAGGCCUUCGGGUUGUAAAGCACUUUUGUCCGGAAAGAAAUCCUUGGCUCUAAUACAGUCGGGGGAUGACGGUACCGGAAGAAUAAGCACCGGCUAACUACGUGCCAGCAGCCGCGGUAAUACGUAGGGUGCAAGCGUUAAUCGGAAUUACUGGGCGUAAAGCGUGCGCAGGCGGUUUGCAAGACCGAUGUGAAAUCCCCGGGCUCAACCUGGGAACUGCAUUGGUGACUGGCAGGCUAGAGUAUGGCAGAGGGGGGUAGAAUUCCACGUGUAGCAGUGAAAUGCGUAGAGAUGUGGAGGAAUACCGAUGGCGAAGGCAGCCCCCUGGGCCAAAUACUGACGCUCAUGCACGAAAAGCGUGGGGGAGCAAAACAGGAUUAGAUACCCUGGUAGUCCACGCCCUAAAACGAUGUCAACUAGUUGUUGGGGAUUCAUUUCCUUAGUAACGUAGCUAAACGCGUGAAGUUGACCGCCUGGGGAGU
rnacentral:rRNA from 1 species